CCCCUUGACGGACGUGUUCCGAUCAGAGCUGUCUGCCCCACGGGAAAAGAAUCGGCUUUCUAUCAAGUGGACUCUGGGCAUCGCCCCAGAGAGCUGCAGCUCCAAAGGACCCGGAGAGACCCCCAGACGACCGAGAGGGGCUGACGUGGAGUGUCCCCCGCCUGGAUGGCAUCCCUGGAAAAGGCUGGAGUGUUUCUACAGAGGCUGUUCAGACAUCACAUCACAGUCCCAGACGGCCGAGAGGUUCUUGCACUCACUUGGCUGCCCUCCCUGGGAAAUGCUUUGGAUCAGACAGCACUUCUGGGUUGUUUUUGCCUGAGGAAAGUGGCUCACAGCAUCACCCUCACCCUUGCUCUGAGAAACCGUCAUGAAUUCAAUGCAGCUUUGGAAAGGAAGGAAUGUGGCAAAUCCCUAAUCACACCUCACCUUUAAAUACGGUCUUUGACCAUAUUAGGACCAGAAUUUCAUAUAUGUUCCCUAAUUUAUUCUUUUCCUUCACAACUGAACACACAGGCGACUGGCUUGAAUCCAGGGCGCGUUUGAUCGAGGCUACAUAUUCCCCCACUUUCGGCACGCCUAAUGAUUUCCAUCUUUGUCUCAAUUGUGUUUAUGAGACCUGCCCUUAUCGCCGGCAUCGGCGCUUCAUUUUUCCAUUUUCCACUCAUUCUUAUAAAAUAACAAGGUCAAAAUGCAA